GGUCGAUGAUGAUUGGUAAAAGGUCUGAUGGCACUCAGUGUCGCGGUUCCUUCCUCGCCCUCAGCUCCCAGCAGCCUGCUCUUGUUCGUCCUGCCACGCUUUAGUCGUGUGUGGAGGACAGUGGGGCAGCUGAUACUUGGGAUCAUGUCAGUGUGUGUUUGUGAGAGUGAACAAGGCACAGCUGACGGGCAUCCGACAGAACUGAGCAUGAAGGAGCAUGAUGAGUGGCAGGUAUGGGCGUGACGUGCAUGAUCUCAAGUUUUCAAUCUGAGACC